GACGGGGGAUGCAAGUGUUAUCCGGAUUUACUGGGCGUAAAGCGUCUGCAGGUGGUUUCUUAAGUCUACUGUUAAAUCUUGAGGCUCAACCUCAAAUCUGCAGUAGAAACUAGGAGACUUGAGUAUAGUAGGGGUAGAGGGAAUUUCCAGUGGAGCGGUGAAAUGCGUAGAUAUUGGAAAGAACACCGAUGGCGAAGGCACUCUACUGGGCUAUUACUGACACUCAGAGACGAAAGCUAGGGGAGCAAAUGGGAUUAGAUACCCCAGUAGUCCUAGCCGUAAACGAUGGAUACUCGAUGUUGGACGUAUCGACCCGUUCAGUAUCUUAGCUAACGCGUUAAGUAUCCCGCCUGGGGAGUACGCUCGCAAGAGUGAA
rnacentral:rRNA from 1 species